GGCCAAGGGACCUCAGGCCAUCGCGUCUCUGCCAGCCAAAGGCUGGCAGCUUGUAGGAUCCCAAGAGUUGGUGAAGGCAGCUGCGGGCAAUGGGUGCACAGACCGAGGGUUUGGGCUUUGCGUGUCCAUCCCACCGUGUCUGCCUGUCCAUCCUGUCGUGUUUGUGUGUCCAUCCCGCCGCGCAGGGCUACAGCAUCCUCCCGCCUGACGUUUCGCUGAGGUUGUGAUGAGCUGCUUGAAGCAGGGAAGAGCUGUUCCUCGAGCGGCACCGUGGCGGUAGUAAAGCAAAGCUCAGCCAGCAUCUAAACCCGCCGUGUUCCCAUGGCUACCGCGUUCUCCAGAGCAACUGGGACAGCCGCGACCCAGCGCAUCCCAGCCUGCGGCACGCAGCAGCCCCCAGCCCCGCUGCGGGACCAGGUUGUCCCCCGCAUCCCCCAGCCCAGCCAUCCCGCUGGGACACGGCACCACCGGACCCCGGGACGUGCCUCCUCAGGCCCUUGCAAACGCAUCCCCACAGGGUGCCUUGGUGUGAGCCCAAACGAUGGGCACCCCAGCGUGGGACACUGGUGUAGGUGCAGCCCCUGGCUUUGGGGCUGCAGAGAGGGGCAAAACGUUCCUUGAAAACCUCGUGGUUACAUCCGUAGGGCAAAAGUAAUCCCAGAGGAGCGGGAACGUGUCGCCAUUGGCACAAAGGCAAAGCAGAUACAGGGAUGUGUUAAAGCUGUUAAUAAAUGGCUAAAUGCAGUAAACUAAGAGAGCAUUUCCCUUUGUUCUCUACUUUUGAUGUUAUGUUUAAAUCAAGCAUGAGCUCGGUGUCUACUUGAGUUUACUUUUAUAACUGUAAUUAAGGGAGACUAGAGAUCUCUGGAGUGUUGUUGUCUGCUCAUUUUUGUAUGCUGGCUUAUGUUAAAAUCUGUCAUGCAUUCCCGGCGGAGGGCAGGAGAUACGGCGCCAGGCUUUCACAGCCCUUAUUGAAACACUUUGUGUACCACAAUCAUUUCCAGGCAGCUUUUCAAGCCGCUCUCACUUCUGGGUGGCUGGAGGAGUUUCCUUGUCGCAGACACUUCUUGCAAACCCUGCUCCCCAGCCCAGCCCACAGCGGGGGCCAUCUCCGCUCCCCAAAAGCCGGUCUGCACGCCGAAACGGAGGUGUGAUGACUCACCAUCGCCGGACCCUGCGCUGAGGGAGCUGCUGCCCAAAGGAUGCUCUGCUGCCCAGCAUCAAGGAGCUGCCGUUAAGAGAGAACGUGGAUGGGACUCCUCCUUGGGAAGGAAGAGAUGCACUUUCUGCCCGCGGAAUCACAUCUCCAGCCACGUCCCAUGGGAGGCAAAGCAUCACUGCGACUGCUCUUGGAUGCAGCACACUUCUUACUGGGGCCAGGAGCUGCCCGCAGCCACCCUGCCACGGUCGAAGGUGGACCCAGGCUUGCUGAACUUCUCAUAGAGACGGUUCUGAAACAAAUAAGAUCCCCUGAGCAAUUAACCACAAGGUAAUGAGGUAAGUAAUCCUGGGGAGAAAAAAAAAAUCAGUUUUCAUUCUGAAGUUAGUUUGGGGUCUACGCAGGACAGUAAGUGCUGCAAAGCUGCAGCCUGAGUGCUGCUCUCCUCCUGCUGCAUCUUCUGCUGGCCGGACAUCCCCACCCGCCUCGUUUCCUUAAAGCCGGAAUAGAAAGGGCAGCUGAAAAAAAGAGAUCAAACAGCAAUGAAAAACGCUCAGCUGAGUCCGUGAAACUCCUGGCAGUAAUGGACUUCAUCUCAUGAUGUGAUUUCUCUCCCUGCCCUACUGCUGGUCACUGGGUUUAACGUCAGUCCCUGUCCUCCUGCCCCUGCACGCUCAGCCCGCAUCCUGGUGGUACUCGCUCUUCUCCUCAACCCGUAACUUUAAUGCAGACCGUAAAAUUUCUGCAGCAAUGCCGACAUCAAGCUGGAGUCACCUCCCUGCUCCUACCUGCCGUCAUCUAAGAAGGUUCCUGUCCCAGAUGAUGAGGUGGGGCUGCCAGGACACACGGACGUGCUCGGGGCGGCAGACGGUGGGCGCGCAGAGGUGCCUGCACUUUGCUUUCAAACCUGAGGACCAUGGAUGUUUCUCCAGCUCUUGCCCCCCGUGGUUACACCACUACAUGGUAAUAUCAUCCUGCUUUUUUUUUCUUUUUUUUAAAAGAUGUAAAAAGAUGUGGAAAGGCUUGAAAAUCUGACCUGCAAACAAAGAUGUUCAAAGCCAGAGUGUAAAUAAACAGCUCCUGAUGGUUGCUGCUAUUGUUCUUGGGGAUAAUGGGAGAGAGGCAGCGCGGGCUGGGGAGGGAGGGCUCUGAUUCAUAAUUUGUCAACCCACCAUGUUUACAGUACUUAGGUUGGGAAAAAUACCUGUUCGCAGAAACGAUCCUCAAUAGACUUUGCUUUCUACUUACUGCCAUUGCUUAGUAACAGCUCUAUUUUUAAAUGCUAAGAGGGUAUUAGACCAAAAAAAAUGGAAGUUUACCCUAUCUCCGAUCUAACGGGCGUUAAACUCAACGGGGACAUGGCCGUUGGUCUCGGGGGAGCUGGCCCGAGCACGGGCGGGCUGCGGACCCGGUGAGCCCUGUGCCGUGGGCUGUUGGUGCCAAGAGCUGCCCCCACCAACCUUCAACUCUUCCAGUAGAGUUUUAAAAACCAAAAUUAGUAAAAUCUGUGCACUCCUCAGCGUUGUCAGCUGACGGUGACCUCCCGGAGCGGGCAGGUAAAGCCUGUCGAAAUGAGAGCUGGGACUUUCCUAGUGCAGCUACAGGUGGGCUGAUGAGGAAGGACAGCGUGGGCACAGAUAUUUGAGUUUGGGAAGCAGGAUUAGGGGCUCUUCGGGGGCACCUGCCGGCUGCCCUCCUUCCCUGGGUGAUCUGCCUCCAGCCCAGCAUCACUUUGGAAAGAAAUCUCUUAGAGCUUCUGCUAAAAUAUAUUUCCAGGAGUAUCCACAGCUCCUGAAAUACCGUCCUGAGUAUCUGAUUUGGGAAACUGCUUUUGCAAGUCCCGUGGAGUCGGGAGCACAGGUUGUCCCUCCUGCUGCCCCACAGCAGUACCGGGAUGGUCCUGGCCAUGUCCUGCCCGCAUGAUCUUCCCUCGUUAAAAAUGUUGACAUAAAUGGGAUGAGUUGUUUUGGACUCACCCCUGUGCCCGAGCCACUGAAGGUCAUGGCAAGUUAAUUCACUUCACUGGGAUUUGCAGCAGACAGCGUAUUUCCCUCCAUCCAGGUCUAAUGAUCAGCGUUUAUUAGUUCCUUUCCUUUCUCGAGGAUACAGCAGAUAAACUCAUUGAAAUCCCUUGGGGAUAUAAAUGUGCUUGGCCAAGGGAGAGCCCAGUACCAAUAAAGAGCUGGUCUUUCUGCUAACAGGUUGUGCCUAAAGACUCGUGCCACCGUCAUCUAUUGUUGUGGUUUUAACGUAUUUAUAUAAGGGGUAUGGUAUUAAAUAUGUGCAAAAAAUCAAUUGUUUUGUGGUUGAUUAAAUGUCAAAACAAGGCUCAGGGUUUUCGUAACUGCAAAGCCGUUUACUGUGUAUACAUUUGAUUGCCAUGAAUAUCAUUCCUGCUGCAAAAUGAUUGUAAUAAGAAAGCAAUAAACCAGAACAUAAA